rnacentral:rRNA from 1 species
AUUGAACGCUGGCGGCAGGCCUAACACAUGCAAGUCGAGCGAGCGGCGGACGGGUGAGUAAUGUCUGGGGAACUGCCCGAUGGAGGGGGAUAACUACUGGAAACGGUGGCUAAUACCGCAUACUAUCGGAUGUACCCAUAUGGGAUUAGCUUGUAGGUGGGGUAACGGCUCACCUAGGCGACGAUCCCUAGCUGGUCUGAGAGGAGGAGCAGCCACACUGGUACUGAGACACGGGCCAGACUCCUACGGGAGGCAGCAGUGGGGAAUAUUGCACAAGGGGCGCAAGCCUGAUGCAGCCAGGCCGCGUGUAUGAAGAAGGCCUUAGGGUUGUAAAGUACUUGCAGCGGGGAGGCGUUACCCGCAGAAGAAGCACCGGCUAACUCCGUGCCAGCAGCCGCGGUAAUAC